rnacentral:lncRNA from 1 species
GCCACCCCUGAUUUGUAUUUCAUAAAGAAAAUAACAUGGUAGAGGCUACCUUUUAAGGAGGGUGUUCUUUGAGGUCCUCAACAUCUGUGUGAAUCAGUUGCAGCCUUUGAGAAGCCCACCAUGAUGCUUCAGGGAAUUGCUUUCUGUUUUGCUUACCAUAUUGACAAGUUUGACAACUUGGUAAAUGAUCAACUAGAGUUGGCAGCCCUCUUGUCAUAUCAUCAUUCUUCAACAGCAACAAUACUUGUAGAUGACAAUGGCCAAGUCUUUAGUGCCAAAUUUCAGUUACACUUGCUCUGGUGGAAUAAGCCAUCUGCUUCUCAGUUGGAUCGAAAGGAAAACUCCUUCCUCUCAUCUUCACCCUGAAAAUUUCAUGUCUAGCCGCGUCACUGAUUUGACAGUGCUGAUCUUCGAAGUAAAUUCUGAAUCUUUUUUCAAGUAGUUGUCUUACACUAACAAGUUUUGAUCAAUGUCAGGUACAUAAAGAACUUCUGAAAAGCUCUUUGUGCUUGUGUUUGUCUUGAUAGCUAUGGUUCAUUUUCCUUUGGCAGGAAGAUUGUCACAAUUUUCUGUCCUAACUUUGGAAAUUUCAAUGGCCUUCAACUCCUUGAAUAGGCUCCUAUCAUGAGUCAUGUGGUUAGUGUAACCACUAUCAAUUAACUAAGAAUUCGUUGAGCUCUUACUUGAGAAGUAUGUUGCAACAAAAAGUUGAUCCUCUUCUUAUUGAUCAACAACCUGAGCAUCUGCUUCCUGCCGCGGGGCCUUAUUUUUACAAAUCACGGCUUCAUGUCCGAGCUGAUUAUAUUUCUUGCACUUAACAUCAGUGUUGACCCAAGUAAAGUUUUGUUUUGAUGAUUGACAAAGGAACUCAAGCAUGAACCAGGUCCAUACAUAGUAUACACAGACACUGGCAGAUUCGAGUAUAAGGGAUGCAUGUGAAGGAGAUAAGCUCAAGUUGUUUUAUCUGAUAUCUCCUGAUCAAAAAUGUUGCAUAAGUGAUAAGGAGAAGGACUCCUUACUCGAGAGAACUCUAUCCUAAAUAAGGGAAGAGUUAGAAGUUGAAGAUAACUAGAACUCUUCUACCAUGAAAGAGUAUAGCAUUAGAACUCUAGUUAUUUAUUAUUCUAUUAACUCUAUAUAUUGCAGGAUGUUCUCAUUCUACAGGGAUGCACAAACGCUGAAGUUAAACGUGAGUUGAGAGCAAAAUAACAAGGCAUUUUGCAAGCAAUUCUUGUGUGAUUCAA